AUGAUUCGAGGCUUUUCCCCACCUGAGAAUGAUGUCCAGUGGCUAAAGAAUGGCAAUCCCAUUUCAGAAGAUGACUACGUCAACACCCCAGCCGUGAAAGAAAAGAGGGAUGAGUCCUUCUUCCGCUAUAGCAAAUUGACAAUCUCUGAUUCGGAAUGGUAUAGCGGCGCAGAAUUCAUCUGUAUGGUUGUCCAUGAGGCCCUUGAUGACAGGUUCACCCAGAGGAGCAUAGCAAAAACAUCGGACAUUUCACUUCUCAUCCAAGAAGCUUCUUCAGUUNAGGGUUUCUACCCCAAUGAGAUUAAUGUUGAGUGGCUGGUGGGCAGCCACCAUGGAUUGCUGGCUCCCUACACCGAACCUCCCAGGCGUGAUGUAAAUAAGUACACUUUCAGUACUGUUAGCAGGGUCAACAUCACCCAAGCAGAUUGGUUGGAAGGAAACACUUACUACUGCCAGGUAACCCAUGCGGCCUCACAAACACAGGUGAAAGGCAGAGCCAGGAAAUGUGAAGAUGCCAGCAGUCACUUCUCCACUGGGGUUACUGCCUACCUUCUGCCCCCACGGCCAAAAGACUUGUACAUAAACAGAAAUGCCAGGCUCCUUUGUGUGGUUGUCAAUCUGCAACAGGAAGAGGGGUUGAAAAUAAGCUGGUCACGUGAGAAGAAAGUUGCCAUGCAUCCAGAAUUAGUGGUGGUGACUGAAGAAAACAAUGGAACCUUCACUGCUGUUGGCCGUUACCCUCUCUCUGCCCUUGAUUGGGAAUCAGGAGAGACGUUCACCUGCUCAGUCGAAUAUCCAGGUUUGCCUGGUCCCAUCGUGAAUACAAUUUCCAAGAGCCCAGAAAAGAGCAAGGCACCAUCCAUCCACAUCUACCCUCCCAUCCCUGGCAAUUCACUUAUCGUCACCUGCUUCGUUCGAGGCUUUUCCUCAAAUAUUAUUGAUAUCCAGUGGCUAAAGAAUGGCAAUCCCAUUCCAGAAGAUGACUACGUCAACACCCCAGCUGUGAAAGAAAAGAGGGAUGAGUCCUUCUUCCUCUAUAGCAAAUUGACAAUCUCUCAACCGGAAUGGCGUGACAGAAACAUAUUCAGCUGUAUGGUUGUCCAUGAGGCCCUUAAUGACAGGUUCACCCAGAGGAGCAUCGCAAAAACAUCGGGUAAACGUUGAAGACUCCCCUCAACAGGCAUUGUCCUCCUAGAUUUGACUCUCACGGUGUUUGAUCCAAAUUCUUGUAAAUAGUUUACAUGCCAAUGUGUUUUGCUGCUAGCUAAAUAAAAGCAUCCCAAUUCAGAGGA